UGCUGAUUGGCACUGGCGCCCUGUGUGGCCUUGGAGGAGCGAAGGGUGGUUGGGAGGUGGGCUCCUCUGUCAGAGGGGAGUUUUAUGAGCCCCUGUAAUCACCAGGCGUUAAACUCAACAAUUAGGAGCUGCGAUUUUGUCGCUGGUUUAUGGCAAGAGGCUAGUUAGCUGCUCGGAUCAGCAGACGGAGGGGGGGGGGCAGGCAGAGAAAACACAGUAGGCUUCAAAGUGUGGUCAGAGAUUACACUGGAAUAGAUCGACUCAAGUUUGAUUAGGAUUUAAACGUUGCACUUUAUGGCUUUGUCAGUGUGUCAUUUAUACACUCUUCUUCUAGAUGCCUCCUUUCUGAUAUUUUUGUGAGGUCUGUCUGUUUCCUGUUCCUGCUGUCUGCUGUGUGGGGUUAAUCAUUGUGAUCACACUCACCUGUGUCUCUGUGAUUAGUCUCACUGCUGUCACCUGGUGCCCUGGGCAUCGUAUCUGUUUGUGAGUGUAGUGGUCUGGUCAAGGUUGUUCCAUACUGGUCAGUUCCUGUUCUGUGUCCACGCUUCCUGUUUGACGGUGAUGCCCUGUGAUGACCAUGCUUCAUUUUCCUCCGACACAGCCCAGGCCUGACCUUCCUGAGCCCCGCUCACAUGAUCUGCCUCCCUCAGGAUGCUGCAAACAGAAACUUCCCUGGGAGUCCUGACGCCUGCUGGGAAACAACAGAGUGGAGGAAACUGACUGUGAUGAUCUGGGAAACAGAAGAGCCUGAACAGCCUGUGCUGCGCUUCAGAUUCAUCUGAGGUUGGGAUUGUGUAAUCUGAAAGUGGUAUGAUGGGGUAAUUUGGGACUCAAUUCUACACAUUUCUUGUACAUUCUUGGAUUUGAAGUUGCGCCCACAGCCGGGGUACAGUGGGUGAAAAGGGCAGCAGCAGGUCCAUCAUGUCAGAGCUCAUUUCUCAGUGGGAGGUUAAUUAAAACAAACUUGUGACACUUUUGUAAAUAGAGAUGAAAACAGCUCUUCUAAAACCACGUUUCCAUGUACAACAAUGUAAGGUAUUUGAAAACAGCCUGCGUCUGUCUUAGCCAGAAAUACCACGGUUAAAGUCAGAUGUUAGUCCAUUUCCAAACGAUAGUAAUCAAAUAUUUUACCCAAACAAGAAAAACUGAUCAGUGAUACAUUCAAUAAAACCCAAUUAUAUGGAUGCCUUC